UAGAUUUCCAAUGAUGAAUCCUCUGAAGAC
rnacentral:piRNA from 1 species